rnacentral:lncRNA from 1 species
UGAAUGCAAACAUAUAAAUGAUGUCCUCUAUUUUUCUAAUAACAGGGUGAUAGCAACCCUGGGCCUCCAGGCUUUCCAGGGCUUCCAGGUGAAGAUGGAGAUCCAGGGCCUACAGGUGAUCCUGGGAAUCCUGGCUUACCUGGAUAUCCAGGGCUAACUGGCAGUCCUGGUUUUCCAGGAGAAAAGGGAGUAAAGGGUUCUGAAGGGCUUCCAGGGCUACCUGGUAGCAAAGAAUCAUGUAAAGGCUUGCCUGGGCCAAGUGGAGAACCAGGACCAAGUGGUUAUGAAGGACCUCAAGGUUAGUCUAUGCUAGACUCGUGUGGUGUAUUUGAUGUUAGCCCUGAUAGGACAGUACAGACAGAUAAAAACAGGUAAAAGCUUAGUAAUACCAAUCUGGAUAUAAAUUUAUAUAUUUUUUAGUGCUGUCAGCGUUAAUCUCGUUAAAAUGACAUUAACGCCAUAACCGGAUUAACGCGCCAAAUCUCCGUUAGCGAGUUAACGCGGAUCCCCCCUUGCGUGGGGCUGCACGGCAUCAACGCAUUAGCUUGUUUAGCACGUUAGCGCCAUGCAGCCCCACGCAAGGCGAGAUCUGCAUUAACUCGCUAACGGAGAUUUGCCGCAUUAGUGCAGUUAUGGCGUUAACGUCAUUUUAACGAGAUUAACGCUGACAGCACUAAUAUUUUUAUAUAUUAUAUUUCCUUUGCUCCUCACCUUUAUUUAUUUAUUUAUAUAUAUUUUUUUUGGGGGGGGGGGGGUUGUAUAUUUUAGGACCUAAUGGCUUUCCUGGUGAGAAGGGAAAUCAAGGUUUGCCUGGGUUUAGUAUUCCUGGCCCUGCUGGUGAACCUGGGUUUCCUGGGCCAUCAAGAACAGGUUCACAAGGACAUCAUGGACAAAAAGGAAUCAAAGGACAAAAUGGCCUACCUGGUCAACCAGGACCCAGAGGAGACCCUGGACCAGAUGGAUUGCCAUCAGGAUAUGGACCAGAUGGGUUGCCUGGAAUUGCAGGUCCACCAGGUCAAAGAGGUAAACACAAAUGCAACACAAACACACGUGCGCACACACACACACAAUGCAUAUAAUAUACACAAACAAUAAAUAUAAAAAACAAAGUUAAGU